rnacentral:misc_RNA from 1 species
GAUGAAGAACGCAGCGAAAUGCGAUACGUAGUGUGAAUUGCAGAAUUCAGUGAAUCAUCGAAUCUUUGAACGCACAUUGCGCCCUUUGGUAUUCCAAAGGGCAUGCCUGUUCGAGCGUCAUUUGUACCCUCAAGCUUUGCUUGGUGUUGGGCGUCUUGUCUCCAGUCCGCUGGAGACUCGCCUUAAAGUCAUUGGCAGCCGGCCUACUGGUUUCGGAGCGCAGCACAAGUCGCACUCUUUUCCAGCCAAGGUCAGUGUCCAACAAGCCUUUUUUCAACUUUUGACCUCGGAUCAGGUAGGGAUACCCGCUGAAUUUAAGCAUAUCAAUAAGCGGAGGA